GAUGUAUGAAAAAGAGAAAUAAAGCUGAGGUCAAUCAUUCUGGACCUCAUCAUGACCGUCACAAAGCUUGCAAUGAUGAACUGAAUGAACCUGUGUAUGAAAAUGAAUUGGCUGAUCAACGUGGCCCUGAUGUUUGUAAACCUGAACUGAACUCUCCAGUGUAUGAAAAUAUUCCAAAGAGGAUGUAGUGUUUUGGACACACAGCGAACAUUUUACAGCUUUCACAUAUCAGUUUGUAGGUGGAGACCUGAAUGAUUGACAAGUGUGUUUGACUGAUAUAAUUUGUGGAUAACUGUAUAGAUAGUUGAGUGAAAAUGGAAGUAAAGAGUUAAUUAAUUGAUAAAAGGGUGUGUGUUAACACACUUAAGUGUGUUUUCUCUUUACACUUCAUGCAAUCUUCAUACAAGCUUGCUGCAUUUAGAUUUUUAAUGUUUUUAACCUUAGGUGUCAGUAUUUUUCAGAUUUCCCAUAAAAGGCUAGUUGUGCAAUUU